GAUAUAAAAUUUAUGCAUUAGAGCCCUUAUUCGUUUACUGACAUGAGUGAUAUGGUCUGACCAACGUAAAUGUUGAUCUAUGAAGACACCUAAAUACUUUAUAGAGAAAACUUUUUCUAUUGAAGAACAGUCACAAUUUUGUCCUUGACAUUUUGCGUUAUGCAAUUUUAUAUGAAAAUUUGUAGGUUGGUCAACAAUUGUUGGGCUAAAGGCGAUAUAUUUUGUUUUAUUAAUAUUUAAUGUCAGUUUGUUAAAUUUUAGCCAUAAGUUUAGCUGUUUUAGGUUCAUUUCAGAGCUGGUUUUAACCUCCUCCCAUGUUUUCCCCAUAAAUAAUAUUGCUGUGUCAUCGGCAUAACAAACAAUGUGGCCGUUGAAACUAUUAAU
rnacentral:lncRNA from 1 species